AGACAUUCCUGUCCACUGAUGCUGCAGAGCGCCGUCUGGAUGCAGGGAACAGGAAAGUUGAUGCGACAACCGCUGGAGUCACGCCAGUCCUCCACGGACGGCUCAGGACGAUCUACAGAGAAAACAGUUUCCGGAUCUGUCCGUCCUCCAGCUGCAGAGCCACAGUUCCAGUUUGUGAGCAGUGAACCAUACUGACCACAACACCAUCCACUUCCACAGCAGCCCUGAAGCACAAAAACAGCAAAAAACGCGCGUUUGCCCCUGUCGGCCACCGUAAUAAACCCAUAUCUGAAGGGGAUUGAUUAGAUUGCUGACCUCACUCCGAGUGUGUCAGUAGCAUCCUGAGCAGGACGGAGCAUCUGCAGGGUGGAGGAGGUUGGCAGCAGACCAGAACUGACCCCCACGAACAACUCAUCCUCCAGCCACAGCAGCUGCCUCAGGGCCAGAGGAUCAUCAGGAAGGGCUGCCAGUCUGCAGGAAAACGGGACCAACAGGAAGGACAAUCGUUUGGGAUAAAGUUUAAAGAGCCAAUGAAAGCAGUGGUAGUAUUUGUAGUAAACCAAUGACAAAGAAGCGUGUUAGUUAAACGGAAACACUGGCAUAUUUUAAAAUUCGGACACCAGUUUUUCCAUGUUCUUUAAGUAACCUUGACUGAGACGGAGCAGGCGGCAGAGUGUGAGGUGGAGCUGGAUGUCAGAGGACAGCAGCAUAAUGUACAGCACUGCAGGUUCAUACGAUACCUGAAGGUUUUCUGAAGGACCAGAGGACGAGACACAAUCCUGAACCCAUCUGCUGUUUUGUCAGCUUGUCCUCCUGAAUCUGAAUUGACAGGGGAAUAGGCAGGUAGAUAAAAAUAAGAUACAGUUAACAAUGGGGCUGCAUUCUCCAGGUUGACAUGCUCUCAUCUGAGCAAAUUCUGACUAAAUAUGCAUUUAAAGGCUGUGUGGCUCAAGACAGAUUUUAGGGACACUGGAUAAAAAAUGGGUUCAAACCCAAGAAAUCUGGUUCAGGUUCAGAAUCUUGGCUCUAAUUUCAAUGUUGACUACUAUUUCCUGAAUUCAGAGCCCUAAAAAAACAGAACUGAACAAAAAAAAAAAAAAGAA